rnacentral:rRNA from 1 species
AUGAACGCUGGCGGCGUGCCUCAUACAUGCCAGUCGAGCGAACAGACGAGGAGCUUGCUCCUCUGACGUUAGCGGCGGACGGGUGAGUAACACGUGGAUAACCUACCUAUAAGACUGGGAUAACUUCGGGAAACCGGAGCUAAUACCGGAUAAUAUAUUGAACCGCAUGGUUCAAUAGUGAAAGACGGUUUUGCUGUCACUUAUAGAUGGAUCCGCGCCGCAUUAGCUAGUUGGUAAGGUAACGGCUUACCAAGGCAACGAUGCGUAGCCGACCUGAGAGGGUGAUCGGCCACACUGGAACUGAGACACGGUCCAGACUCCUACGGGAGGCAGCAGUAGGGAAUCUUCCGCAAUGGGCGAAAGCCUGACGGAGCAACGCCGCGUGAGCGAUGAAGGUCUUCGGAUCGUAAAACUCUGUUAUUAGGGAAGAACAAAUGUGUAAGUAACUAUGCACGUCUUGACGGUACCUAAUCAGAAAGCCACGGCUAACUACGUG